GGGUCCGUGGCGCAACGGAUAACGCGCCUGACUACGGAUCAGGAGAUUGCAGGUUCGAAUCCUGCCGGACUCG
rnacentral:tRNA from 1 species